rnacentral:rRNA from 1 species
AUUGAACGCUGGCGGCAUGCCUUACACAUGCAAGUCGAACGGCAGCGGACCUUCGGGUGCCGGCGAGUGGCGAACGGGUGAGUAAUAUAUCGGAACGUACCUUUCAGUGGGGGAUAACGUAGCGAAAGUUACGCUAAUACCGCAUAUUCUGUGAGCAGGAAAGCAGGGGAUCGCAAGACCUUGCGCUGAUUGAGCGGCCGAUAUCAGAUUAGCUAGUUGGUGAGGUAAAGGCUCACCAAGGCGACGAUCUGUAGUGGGUCUGAGAGGAUGAUCCGCCACACUGGAACUGAGACACGGUCCAGACUCCUACGGGAGGCAGCAGUGGGGAAUUUUGGACAAUGGGCGCAAGCCUGAUCCAGCCAUGCCGCGUGAGUGAAGAAGGCCUCGGUUGUAAGUCUACUUUCGGUCCGGGUAACGGAAAGUACGCGACACGGUUAAGUAACCCUACGU